CUACGGGGGGCAGCAGUGGGGAAUAUUGGACAAUGGGGGAAACCCUGAUCCAGCAAUGCCGCGUGUGUGAAGAAGGCCUGCGGGUUGUAAAGCACUUUCGGUUGGGAGGACUGCUUCUAGCACUAAUAUUGUUGGAAGUUGACGUUACCUUCAGAAGAAGCACCGGCUAACUCCGUGCCAGCAGCCGCGGUAAUACGGAGGUGCAAGCGUUAAUCGGAAUUACUGGGCGUAAAGCGCGCGUAGGCGGCUAGAUCAGUCGGGUGUGAAAGCCCCGGGCUUAACCGGGGAACUGCAUCCGAUACUGGCUAGCUUGAGUACAGGAGGGGAGAGUGGAAUUCCACAUGUGGCGGUGAAAUGCGUAGAUAUGUGGAGGAACACCAAUGGCGAAGGCAGCUCUCUGGCCUGAUACUGACGCUGAGGUGCGAAAGCGUGGGGAGCAAACAGGAUUAGAUACCCUCGUAGUU
rnacentral:rRNA from 1 species